UUUCUUGGUCAAUUUAGAGGAAGUAAAAGUCGUAACAAGGUUUCCGUAGGUGAACCUGCGGAAGGAUCAUUACACAAUGUUCUCGGGGGGCCGGACCCAAGGCCAUGUGCUCUGCAUGUGGCUUUGACCCGCUCUGUCUGAAUAUUAUACCCAUGUCUUUUGCGAACUAUUUGUUUCCUUGGUGGGCUUGCCUGCCACUAGGACAUUAUAAAACCUUUUGUAAUUGCAGUCAGCGUCAGAAAAACUUUAAUAGUUACAACUUUCAACAACGGAUCUCUUGGUUCUGGCAUCGAUGAAGAACGCAGCGAAAUGCGAUAAGUAGUGUGAAUUGCAGAAUUCAGUGAAUCAUCGAAUCUUUGAACGCACAUUGCGCCCCUUGGUAUUCCAUGGGGCAUGCCUGUUCGAGCGUCAUUUGUACCUUCAAGCUCUGCUUGGUGUUGGGUGUUUGUCCCGUGUUACGCGUGGACUCGCCUUAAAGCGAUUGGCAGCCGGCAUAUUGGCCUGGGAGCGCAGCACAUUUUGCGCUUCUUGUCAUGAUUGUUGGCGUCCAUUAAGCCUAUACAUUUGCUCUUGACCUCGGAUCAGGGGAUACCCGCUGAACUUAAGCAUAUCAA
rnacentral:rRNA from 1 species